CGUUGGGGUGACGCGCCAACUUAAUCACACCUGACGUCACGUCUGGUCGUCUUGGCUCACAGGUCGCGAUUGGCCAGGCUCGUUUGGGGGAUCCCCUGCUAAUUGGGUGCCCAGGUUGCCUGGUCCUGUUACCUGGAGUCGGAGCUCCGCCCCUUGGGGGGAGAGUAGUGGAGAGUCGGGAGUGUGGGGGGAAUAUUUCCUGCGCUGGUGGUCCUUGGAGAAGAGGAUCCCCACCCAAAAUGAGUGGCCAAGUAAGCCUAUGAGAAUUGUUUCUAGAAUGCAGCAGACCAUGAGCUUGGCAGUUCCAAGUGCACUGAAGCAGUGAGAGCUCCCUUCCUGGUCACAAGAUGGCUACAGCAGUUCCAGCUGUCACAAGCUCACACACAAAUAUCCAGGCUAUGCUACCUUUCCUGGUAAGAGGACUUUAAUCUGUAGAGAAAGGAGGAGGCUUUGCAGCUGUGAUGCUAAAGAUCCAUUCACCAGCUUUAAAAGCCAGUCUUGGGAAGUGUGCUCUUUUACACCAGAAGAUUAAAUCUGAAAGUCUACAUAAGUUGAAGGCAUUUAAGAAACAGAAUGGAUAAUGUAAUUUAUAAUGAGCCACAGCAUAGUCCCACAUUCUUGGAAAAGCCUUCUGGGAUAUUCCUGCCAGGAGGAAGAAAGUGCACCUGAUUUAACAGCCACUAUAAAUGUGGUUAUUCUUCUUUGAUACUACAUUAAAACUUGACAAGUGGUAGUUUCUUAAAGCCUGUUUGGGGUCGAUUUGUGCCCCCCAAGAAGAUAUGUUGAAGUCCCAACUUCUGAUACCUGUGACUAUGACCUUAUUUGGAAAUAGGGUCUUUGCAGAUGUAAUCAAGUUAAGGUGAGGUCAUGCUUGAUUAUGGUGGGCCCCAAGUCCAGUGACUGAUGUCCUUAUGAGGAAGCAGAGAUUUGGACAUAGGAACACAGAGACACAGAGGAGACACAAGAAGAACUCCAUAUGAAGAUGGAGGCAGAUAUCUUAGUGCUGUCUACAUGACAAGGAACUCCAAAUGUGCCUGCAACCACCAGCAUCUAGGAAGAGGCAAAGAAGGAUUCUUCCCUGGAGUCUUCAGAGCUAGCAUGGCCCUGAGGAUGCUUUGAUUUUGGACUUCAGACUUCUACCUUCCAGAACUGUGAGAAAAUUUCUGAUGUGUUAAGCCACCAAAUGUGUGGUGAUUUGUUGUGACAGACACAGAAGACUAAGUUACCUUCCUGGUCAUCAGAGCUUUCCUCAGGGUUCAAGUAGAUUGAUGAAGAGAGCAUUUGUAAUUGUGGCUUCCACACCAGUAGAAUUCACUUUGAGGUGGCCAGCUUGGCUCACGUGUCCACCCAUGAAUCAGUUCAUAUGUCUAGGCAAUGAAGUGUUCCAGGUGGCCAGAUAUGAGUCAUGCAUUCAUCUCCCUGUGUUCAGGGGUAAAAGCCCACUCAUCCAUGGACUGAGAAUUGGUACAGCCUGGCUUCCCCAAAGAAGUUUGCCAACUGGCCCCAAACUAACAAGGAACCUUACCAGAGUUCCCCCAUGUCAUGAUGCUAUCCUUUCUCAGUCCUUAGUACUUUGCUUUAUAAAUCACUUAAUUAAAAUACUACAUUAUGGUUUGUUUGUA